rnacentral:lncRNA from 1 species
GGCAAUGCUCUCUACCGUAUUGUACUCUAUAUUUAUCAUGGUUUCCCCUGUGCCUCUCAUUAGCCUGGCCAAGCAAUGACACCAGUAUUUGAGUGAACCCAUGUUAUUAAAACUGACUGGGAUCAGAAGCACUGAGCUGCCCAAGGAAAGCAGUCAGGCCUCCUGGCUGGGUUCCCCACUAGGCAGGUGCUGGAUGUGGUAAGACCCGUAGGCAUUGGAUAGGAAGAAGGAGAUUGCAUGCCUAGAGCAAGGAUGGACCACUAAUAAACCUAUAACAGGCUAUGGUGACAGGAAUUCCUCACAGUCAAGCUGGUGAUUUGGGGUAAUCUGUGACAAGAGGACAUUCUCAUGCUUGGCAUGAAACGUGUAUGGUAGGUAAACAAGCUUAUAAGGCACAGAUAUGAAGCCGAGUCCAGUCGCCUAAAUAGGGUUGGAAGAGUAACCUUUGCAAGCACUAACACCUCUGUGAUAUUUACUUAUGCUAUUAUGAUGUCAUCAUUAUACUUCUCUGCACAGGGAUAUUGAGACCUGACCCUAACCCUUGGGCUGAACUAGCUAAAGUGUUACUUCAAGUGAAUAAUGACCAGGAACUUUAUAUCCCUGUCUCUCCCAGGAGACUUCAAAGGGGUAGCUGCUCUGCUGAAUGGCCCAAACCAUAAGAUUCGUCCUAGGCCUUGCUUGUGACUGCUUGCCACAGGAGGCUACCCAGAGAGGAGGAUUUCCUGAUUCGCUCCUCAGAGGACGGGAGGGAUUUUACUGCUGACAAUCGGACUGACUUUGGGCUUUGACCUAAAGGGCAAUGGCUUUGGCCUAUCAACUAAGGAAGCAACCUCAUUGGAACUACCAGAAACCCAAAGGAAAGCCACGCCUGUUCUUCAAGGGGAAAACAGAUGAUAAAUGACAUGAUGCACUUUCUCCCACAACCAUUGUCUUUUUUUCCCUUGAGUAAUUUUUCAGAUAUAGGCGGUCCCCAAUUUGUAAGUUCACAAAGUUCAUCUGUCAG